rnacentral:rRNA from 1 species
GUGGGGAAUAUUGGACAAUGGGCGCAAGCCUGAUCCAGCCAUGCCGCGUGAGUGAUGAAGGCCCUAGGGUUGUAAAGCUCUUUCACCGGAGAAGAUAAUGACGGUAUCCGGAGAAGAAGCCCCGGCUAACUUCGUGCCAGCAGCCGCGGUAAUACGAAGGGGGCUAGCGUUGUUCGGAAUUACUGGGCGUAAAGCGCACGUAGGCGGACAUUUAAGUCAGGGGUGAAAUCCCGGAGCUCAACUCCGGAACUGCCUUUGAUACUGGGUGUCUGGAGUAUGGAAGAGGUGAGUGGAAUUCCGAGUGUAGAGGUGAAAUUCGUAGAUAUUCGGAGGAACACCAGUGGCGAAGGCGGCUCACUGGUCCAUUACUGACGCUGAGGUGCGAAAGCGUGGGGAGCAAACAGGAUUAGAUACCCUUGUAGUCC